rnacentral:rRNA from 1 species
UACGGAGGGUGCAAGCGUUAAUCGGAAUUACUGGGCGUAAAGCGCACGUAGGCGGAUAUUUAAGUCAGGGGUGAAAUCCCAGAGCUCAACUCUGGAACUGCCUUUGAUACUGGGUAUCUCGAGUAUGGAAGAGGUGAGUGGAAUUCCGAGUGUAGAGGUGAAAUUCGUAGAUAUUCGGAGGAACACCAGUGGCGAAGGCGGCUCACUGGUCCAUUACUGACGCUGAGGUGCGAAAGCGUGGGGAGCAAACAGG